CGCGAAUGGCUCAUUACAUCAGUCAUGGUUCCUUAGAUCAUACACACUACAUGGAUAACUGUAGUAAUUCUAGAGCUAAUACAUGCCACGAAGCCCUGACCCGCAAGGGAAUGGGUGCAUUUAUUAGAACAGAACCAACCGGGACUUGUCCCGUUGCAAUCUGUGAUGACUCUGGAUAACUUUACUGAUCGCAGUCGGCCUUGAGCCGGCGACGGAUCUUUCAAAUGUCUGCCCUAUCAAUUUGUUGGUAAGUGACCUGCUUACCAUGAUGAUAACGGGUAACGGGGAAUCAGGGUUCGAUUCCGGAGAGGGAGCCUGAGAAACGGCUACCACAUCCAAGGACGGCAGCAGGCGCGAAAAUUACCCACUCCCGGCACGGGGAGGUAGUGACGAUAAAUACGGAUGCAGGACUCAAUCGAGGCUCUGCAAUUCGAAUGAGUACAUUUUAAAUCCUUUAACGAGGACCAAUUGGAGGGCAAGUCUGGUGCCAGCAGCCGCGGUAACUCCAGCUCCAAAAGCGUAUAUUAAAGUUGCUGCAGUUAAAAAGCUCGUAGUUGGAUCUGGGUCGUACGAUUGCAUGCCGUUUCUUGUGCGUCGGACUCGAUUUUGAUCGGAAAGAUGUGCAAGUCCGGUGUAGUGGUCGUGCAACCUUUCAGCCGUGUCUGUGCAAACAGGUGUCGGUCGGUCGGCAAGCUUGCUUGAAGGCCAAUCGGCAUGCUUCCGGAUGCCUUUAACUGGGUGACGGGGGCGGACGGCAUCUUUACUUUGAACAAAGUUGAGUGCUCAAAGCGGGCCACUGAGCCUGUAAAUUCUUGCAUGGAAUAAUGGAAUAGGACUUCGGUUCUAUUUUGUUGGUUUUCGGAUCCGAAGUAAUGGUUAAAAGGGACAGACGGGGGCAUUCGUAUGGCGGUGUUAGAGGUGAAAUUCUGAGAUCAUCGCCAGACGAACUACAGCGAAAGCAUUUGCCAAGAAUGUUUUCAUUGAUCAGGAGCGAAAGUCAGAGUUUCGAAGACGAUCAGAUACCGUCGUAGUUCUGACCAUAAACGAUGCCAACUGACGAUCCGCGGUGGUUAUUUAAUUUGCCUCGCGGGCAGUCUCCGGGAAACCCUUAAGUGUUUGGGCUCCGGGGGAAGUAUGGUUGCAAAGCUGAAACUUAAAGGAAUUGACGGAAGGGCACCACCAGGAGUGGAGCCUGCGGCUUAAUUUGACUCAACACGGGAAAACUCACCCGGCCCGGACACUGUGAGGAUUGACAGAUUGAUAGCUCUUUCUUGAUUCGGUGGUUGGUGGUGCAUGGCCGUUCUUAGUUGGUGGAGCGAUUUGUCUGGUUAAUUCCGAUAACGAACGAGACUUUGGCCUACUAAAUAGCAAGUCCGUCCUCUGUGCCCGGUCAGGUAUUGGCUUUGGUUGCUUCUUUUGGAGUGGCGUGGUCAUUUCCUUCGGGUACGGUGCGGAUGUUUGCUUCUUAGAGGGACAAGCGGCACUAAUAAAACAGUCGCGCGAAAUUGAGCAAUAACAGGUCUGUGAUGCCCUUAGAUGUCCGGGGCCGCACGUGCGCUACAAUGGCGGUGCCAGCGAGUCUGGAAACCUGGCCCGAAAGGGUUGGGCAAGCUGUUUCAUCACCGGUGUGACUGGGAUCGGGCUUGNAAUUGUUCCCCGUGAACGAGGAAUUCCUAGUAAGCGUGAGUCAUAA
rnacentral:rRNA from 1 species